AGUGAGACAGAGCGAGAUAGGGAUCAGAGAUGUAUGGGUUCCAUUGACAGCUGCUGAACAAGCCUAAGCUGCAGAAACAUGAGAAUCGGCCUCUGGCUCGAUCAACAUUUCACAGGGGGCUAAGUAAUAUUUAAAACCAAUUUAGCCCAUGCAGCAAAAGCCGAAGAUUGUAUCCCUCUCCUUUAUAAGAUGCUGAUGGGCAGCUGGAGCUCUGUACAGACCCACUUACGAACGGCAACAGAUUGCCGAAUGCCGUAUGUCGCUCUUCAAUAUAUUCUUCUCGUAGAUGGAAAGAGAUUAAACUUCCUGCAGAUUCCA